rnacentral:rRNA from 1 species
AACGAACGCUGGCGGCAUGCCUAACACAUGCAAGUCGAACGAACCCUUCGGGGUUAGUGGCGCACGGGUGCGUAACGCGUGGGGAUCUGCCCUUUGCUUCGGAAUAACAGUUAGAAAUGACUGCUAAUACCGGAUGAUGUCGCAAGACCAAAGAUUUAUCGGCAAAGGAUGAACCCGCGUAGGAUUAGCUAGUUGGUGGGGUAAAGGCCUACCAAGGCGACGAUCCUUAGCUGGUCUGAGAGGGUGAUCAGCCACACUGGGACUGAGACACGGCCCAGACUCCUACGGUGAGCAGCAGUGGGGAAUAUUGAACAAUGGGCGAAAGCCUGAUCCAGCAAUGCUGCGUGAGUAAUGAAGGCCUUCGGGUUGUAAAGCUCUUUUACCAGGGAUGUUAAUGACAGUCCCUGUAGAAUAAGCUCCGGCUAACUCCGUGCCAGCCGCCGCCGUAAUAC